GAUGAACGCUGGCGGCGUGCCUAAUACAUGCAAGUCGAGCGAACAGACGAGUAGCUUGCUCCUCUGACGUUAUCAGCGGACGGGUGAGUAACACUUGGGUGACCUACCUCUAGGACUGGGAUAGCUUCGGGACACCCGCGCUAAUACGGGAAAAUAUAUUGAACCACAUGGUUCCAUAGUGAAAGACGGUUUUGCUUGCACUUAUAGAUGGAUCCGCGCCGCAUUAGCUAGUUGGUGAGGUAACGGCUUACCAAGGCUGCGAUGCGUAGCCGACCUGAGGGGGAGGACGGCCAGAUUGUAACAGAGACACGGCGCCGACACCUACGGGAGGCAGCAGUACGGAAUCUUCCGCAAUGGGCGAAAGCCUGAUGGAGCAAAGCCGCGUGAGUGAUGAAGGUCUCAGGACCGUAAAACUCUGUUAGUAGUGAAGAACAAAUGUGCAAGUAACUAGGCACGUCUUGACGGUACCUACACAGAAAGCCACGGCUAACUCCGUG
rnacentral:rRNA from 1 species